rnacentral:snRNA from 1 species
GUGCUCUACUUCCAAAGUACAUAUACUAAAAUUGGAACGAUACAGAGAAGAUUAGCAUGGCCCCUGCGCAAGGAUGACACGCAAAAUCGUGAAGCAUUCCACAUUUUU